UAUUGGUCAAUGGGCGCAAGCCUGAACCAGCCACGUCGUGUGAAGGAAGACGGCCCUACGGGUUGCAAACUUCUUUUGUAAGGGAAUAAAGUGUAGUACGUGUACUAUUUUGCAUGUACCUUACGAAUAAGGAUCGGCUAACUCCGUGCCAGCAGCCGCGGUAAUACGGAGGAUCCGAGCGUUAUCCGGAUUUAUUGGGUUUAAAGGGUGCGCAGGCGGGAGAUUAAGUCGGCGGUGAAAUUUUGCAGCUUAACUGUAAAAGUGCCUUCGAAACUGGUUUCCUUGAGUGUAGAUGAAGUAGGCGGAAUUUGUGGUGUAGCGGUGAAAUGCAUAGAUAUCACGAGGAACUCCGAUUGCGCAGGCAGCUUACUAAACUACUACUGACGCUCAGGCACGAAGGCGUGGGGAUCAAACAGG
rnacentral:rRNA from 1 species